GUACACGCUGUGACUAGCAUAUCAAUAAGCGGAGGAAAAGAAACUAACAAGGAUUCCCCUAGUAACGGCGAGUGAAGCGGGAAGAGCUCAAAUUUGAAAUCUUAAAGGGUUUCCCUUUACGAAUUGUAGUUUAAAGAAGUGUUUUCUGUUGAGGUUUUGGUAAAAGUUCUUUGGAAUAGGACAUCAUAGAGGGUGAGAAUCCCGUAUUUGACCUUUACUUUCAACUUUGUGAUACACUUUCAAAGAGUCAGGAUUGUUUGGGAAUGCAGUCCAAAAUGGGUGGUAAAUUUCAUCUAAAGCUAAAUAUUGGCGAGAGACCGAUAGCGAACAAGUACCGUGAGGGAAAGAUGAAAAGAACUUUGAAAAGAGAGUUAAACAGUACGUGAAAUUGUCAAAAGGGAAGCGUUUGACAUCAGUGUUGUUUUUCUGAAAAUCAAUUAAAGAACUGUUUAUGCUAAGUUGUUUAGACUUUAUCAGCUAACUGUUUAGUUUUGAGCUUUUCUUUAAUGCACUUUUCAGUUAACAAGUCAACAUCAAUUUCUUUUGCUGUAAAAAAGCUUGAGGAAGGUGGCUUGAGAUUCGUCUUAAGUGUUUAUAGCCUCUUGCCUAUGCAGUCGGAGAGAUUGAGGUCUGCAGCGUAGAUCCUUCGGGGCUAAAUGCAUUUGUGCUAAGUUAUAGCAUUUUAUAGACAACUUGUUGACUAUGAUUUGUCUUGUAGCUUACUCGCUUAUGUUAUUUUACCUACGCUUAGGAUGUUGACAGCAGUAUAGACUGU
rnacentral:rRNA from 1 species